rnacentral:rRNA from 1 species
AGAGUUUGAUCCUGGCUCAGAAUCAACGCUGGCGGCGUGCCUAACACAUGCAAGUCGCACGAGAAAGGGUAGCAAUACCGAGUAAAGUGGCGCACGGGUGAGUAACACGUGACUAACCUACCCUCGAGUGGGGNNUNNCCUAGAGAAAUCUGGGCUAAUACCGCAUAACACUUACGAGUCAAAGCAGCAAUGCGCUUGGGGAGGGGGUCGCGGCCGAUUAGCUAGUUGGCGGGGUAAUGGCCCACCAAGGCGAUGAUCGGUAUCCGGCCUGAGAGGGCGCACGGACACACUGGAACUGAAACACGGUCCAGACUCCUACGGGAGGCAGCAGUGGGGAAUUUUGCGCAAUGGGGGAAACCCUGACGCAGCAACGCCGCGUGGAGGAUGAAAUAUCUUGGUAUGUAAACUCCUUUCGAUGGGGAAGAUUAUGACGGUACCCAUAGAAGAAGCCCCGGCUAACUUCGUGCCAGCAGCCGCGGUAAUACGAGGGGGGCAAGCGUUGUUCGGAUUUAUUGGGCGUAAAGGGUGCGUAGGCGGUUUGGCAAGUCUGAUGUGAAAUCUAUGGGCUCAACCCAUAGUCUGCAUCAGAAACUGCCGGGCUUGAGUAUGGGAGAGGUGAGUGGAAUUUCCGGUGUAGCGGUGAAAUGCGUAGAUAUCGGAAGGAACACCUGUGGCGAAAGCGGCUCACUGGACCAUUACUGACGCUGAUGUACGAGCUAGGGGAGCAAACAGGAUUAGAUACCCUAGUAGUCC